rnacentral:rRNA from 1 species
AGUGAACGCUGGCGGCAGGCCUAACACAUGCGAGUCGAGCGGCAGCGCGGGGGCAACCCUGGCGGCGAGCGGCGGACGGGUGAGGAAUUCGUCGGAAUCUGCCUUUUUGUGGGGGAUAACGUAGGGAAACUUACGCUAAUACCGCAUACGUCCUACGGGAGAAAGUGGGGGACCGCAAGGCCUCACGCAGAAAGAUGAGCCGACGACCGAUUAGCUAGUUGGUGGGGUAAAGGCCCACCAAGGCGACGAUCGGUAGCUGGUCUGAGAGGAUGAUCAGCCACACUGGGACUGAGACACGGCCCCGACUCCUACGGGAGGCAGCAGUGGGGAAUAUUGGACAAUGGGCGCAAGCCUGAUCCAGCCAUGCCGCGUGUGUGAAGAAGGCCUUCGGGUUGUAAAGCACUUUUGUCCGGAAAGAAAUCCCUGGAGCUAAUACCUUCGGGGGAUGACGGUACCGGAAGAAUAAGCACCGGCUAACUUCGUG